UGGUUUUUGGGGACCCUGGUGUGACAUUUGGGGACCCUGGGGUGGUUUUUGGGGACCCUUGGGACAUUUGGGGACCUUGGGGUGACAUUUGGAGAUCCCAGGAUGAUAUUUGGGGACCCUGGGGUGGUGUUUGGGGACCCUGGAUGACAUUUGGGGACCCUGGGUGACAUUUGGGGACCUUGGGCUGGCCCUGACCAUGUCCCCUCCAUGUCCCCCCCCCCAGUGGUGCCCCGGGCACCCAAAAAUUUGGGUGUGGUUGGGGCGGGGCCGCGGUGGCUGGAGCUGAGCUGGGAGCCGGGGGACAGCGCCGGGGACGGCGGGCCCCAGGAGUGCGCGGUGCAGGUGUCCCCGGCUGACGCCGCCGAUGUCGCCACCGAUGUCGCUGUGUCGCGAUAUGCCGCUGCUGCUGUCGCCGCCGAUGUCGCCGCCGACGCAGCCGUGUCGCGACAUGCCGCCGAUAUCGCCGACACAACCGUGUCGCGACAGGCCGCGACAGCGGUGACGUCGCGCUGGGCGCCGGCGCCGCCGUUCGCGCUGCGCAUGGCGGGGCUGCGGCCGCUGUCGCGAUACCGCGCGCGCGUGGCCUGUCGCGACAGGCGGGGCCGCUCGGCCUGGAGCCAAUGGGAGCCCGCGGCCACCGCGGAGGGCGGUGAGGGGGGGGGAACCCCGGAUUUGGGGAGGGGGGUGGGGGCGGGGGGACCCCAAAAAGGGUUUUUUUUUUUUUUUUUUUUUUUUUUUUUUUUUACCGAAAUUGCAGAGGGGGGAGGCGGGGAGGGAACGCCCAAAAAUGGGGGAGGGAGAGACCCCGAAAAUGGGGGGACCCCGAAAAUUGGGGGGAGUGGACCCCGAAAUUGGGGAGGGGGGACCACAAAAAUGGGGGGACACCACAAAAACUGGGGAGGGGGGAUGCCGGAAUGGGGGAGGGGGGACACCAAAUUUGGGGAGGGGGUUCCCCCCCAGUUUUGGGGUCUCAUUCCUCCCUUUUGGGGUUCUCACCCCCCAGUUUUUUGGGUCUUCCCCCAAAUUUGAGGUUCUAACCCCCAAAUUUUGGGGUGUCCCCCGCAGUUCCUGAGGGGCCCCCCCAGAACGUCACUGCCGAGUGGGUGGGGGAGGGGCGGGCCCGGCUGCGCUGGGGCCCCCCCCGGGCCCCCCUCAACGGCGUCCUGGGGGGCUUC
rnacentral:lncRNA from 1 species